CAAAAGUUGAGCGAAGUUGAGUCCUGGCUGGACGUGAACGAAUCAACCGAACAGGAAGAAAAAAGAUUGCUUCCCUACUUUCUUUUUUAAUGGUUGCUCUUCAAAAAUGGGCGUCUCUGUCGACGUGAUUACACGUCCCUUUGGCCGUUUAAUGUGAUGACUGUGGCUAACCCCAGCCUAGAUUUCCAUCCGAAGCCAAAGGCUCAUUUCCCCGCAAUCGUUUGGAAAGAAUGGCGCUGGAUGAAAAACAAAAAUGGAAACAACGUACAUUUUGAUGAACAAUAAUCAACGACUGAAGCGAAAAGAAGAUAUUAAAAACUGACACGCUGCAUAUGUAUGUUUCUGAUAUGAUCUACCUUUUUUUUUAAGUUUUCUACUGGAGACCUUCUCUGUAUAUUGCUGUAACACGUGGAAGAUUGACUUCUGUUUCCACCUGGAAGAGCCGUCAGGUUCUUUCUACGUUCAUUUCACUACACGAGGGGAUGCGGACUUUACGGCGUUUGCCUUACCGUCUCAGGGUACGCUUAACCGCAUCUGACAUCAACGCAGUUUGUGAGUUUGAAUCGUGAUGACCUCGUUUGCAGAACAUUUCGAACUCAGCAGCUGAUGUCACGCACACCUGGGCAUCACGAAGGGUAGGAGGGGAAAAAAAAGAGAAAAAACGAGAAAUGGUAUCAAUUCAAUCUACUGUAAAAUUGCACCUGAAAAGAUUUGUGGUGAGACUUUAAAUCUUACGCUGGGUCGGAGGAUUUAUAUGAUGCGUUGGCAGCUUUGAAAAGAAAUCAAAGUAAACGCCGUUAGGUGUGACAAAUAAUAACUGGAUACAGGAGUUGUGUUACUGGGGGGAGAAAUAAAUGCUUUUCAAGUCGUGUUUUUCUUUUUAAAACCAAGUCCCAUUAUCUGUAAAAAGACGUGGAUAUCCACCUCAAUCCGUCCUCCCAUUUCUUUUUUUAAUCGUGUCUGUAUAGUAUCCCAACAUGAAAUGAUGUAUACAUAUAUAUA